AUUGAACGCUGGCGGCAUGCCUUACACAUGCAAGUCGAACGGCAGCACGGGAGCAAUCCUGGUGGCGAGUGGCGAACGGGUGAGUAAUAUAUCGGAACGUGCCCAGUCGUGGGGGAUAACGCAGCGAAAGCUGUGCUAAUACCGCAUACGAUCUAUGGAUGAAAGCGGGGGAUCGCAAGACCUCGCGCGAUUGGAGCGGCCGAUAUCAGAUUAGCUAGUUGGUGGGGUAAAGGCCUACCAAGGCGACGAUCUGUAGCUGGUCUGAGAGGACGAGCAGCCACACUGGAACUGAGACACGGGCCAGACGCCUACGUGAGGCAGCAGUGGGGAAUUUUGGACAAUGGGCGCAAGCCUGAUCCAGCAAUGCCGCGUGCAGGAUGAAGGCCUUCGGGUUGUAAACUGCUUUUGUACGGAACGAAACGGCUCUGGUUAAUACCUGGAGCUAAUGACGGUACCGUAAGAAUAAGCACCGGCUAACUACGUGCCAGCCGCCGCAGUAA
rnacentral:rRNA from 1 species